AACUCCAAUCUGGUAACAGAGAGGAGGUGCAUAUAAUGAACUUCACUGAUAUUGUUGUGCUUAUUAUGGUAAAUGUAAUCUCUUAUUUCAUUUACAAAUGGAUAGAUAAGCACUUUUUUGAGUAACUAUCCUAACGCUCCAGCAUUAGCGUAAUAAUGUAAAAACCCUUAGGAACUACCACUUCCUAAGGGUUUUGUGCAUUAUAAU
rnacentral:sRNA from 1 species